AGGACGAACGCUGGCGGCGUGCUUAACACAUGCAAGUCGAGCGGAAAGGCCCUUCGGGGUACUCGAGCGGCGAACGGGUGAGUAACACGUGAGUAAUCUGCCCCUAGCUCUGGGAUAGCUCCGGGAAACCGGGAUUAAUACCAGAUAUGACCACUUUAGACAUCUGCUGUGGUGGAAAGAAUUUCGGCUAGGGAUGAGCUCGCGGCCUAUCAGCUUGUUGGUGGGGUAACGGCCUACCAAGGCGACGACGGGUAGCCGGCCUGAGAGGGCGACCGGCCACACUGGGACUGAGACACGGCCCAGACUCCUACGGGAGGCAGCAGUGGGGAAUAUUGCGCAAUGGGCGAAAGCCUGACGCAGCGACGCCGCGUGGGGGAUGAAGGCCUUCGGGUUGUAAACCCCUUUCAGCAGGGACGAAGCGAAAGUGGCGGUACCUGCAGAAGAAGCGCCGGCUAACUACGUGCCAGCAGCCGC
rnacentral:rRNA from 1 species